UUCCAAUUAUACUUUACGGUGAAAUAACGACUAGGAGUGGUGGUACAUGCCAGGAAUACCAGCACUCGGGAGGCUGAGGCACAAGGAUUUAAAGCCAACAUGGGGCUACACAGCGAUGAAGGGCAGCCUGCAUGGUGGAUCUACAGUCACUCUUAACCUGGAAAGCCAAGGAGACAGAAGGAAAUCAGGGGCAUUCUCCAGCUCGUUCACAUCACUAACUGGGGAAAGUCAGUUCCUUCCUGCUGAAAAGCUACUCCGGAUGCCUCUAAAGAUGCACCAGCAGCCAGGUGUGGAGAUGAGCUGG